CGUUGCGCCCCAUCCCGCACCCCAUCCCCCGCCCCCACCCCCGCGGCUCCUGGGGCCGUCCCCUCUCUGUCCGGACAGAGCCCGAGCCUGAAUCCUUGCUCUUUCCCCAGCCCAUCACUGGGCCGGUCCGCGGCUUUCGCCAUAGGAGUCCCUGGACGGAGCCUUGGACUCGUGCCCUCUGUGCGGCCUGGAGUCUGGUCCUUAGUCUGCACCUGCGCCUUCGGCUGUCCCCGGCCUGGGGUGGGUUGGGGACUGUGUUCUGCGCUCCUUACGUCAAUGUAGCAGCUCCUGUGCCCGGGGCGGGGGAGGCUGCUGGGGUCACUGCUCCCCCUAGGGCUCGGGAUGAGGCGACCCGUCUUGUAACUAGCGCUCGGAGAUGCUGCCUACCCCCUGGCCUAGGAGCCCCGCGUGGGCUGUGUCCGGCUGUGCAGAGCGCCCCUCGGCACCUCGCUUAGUUUGGAGCACCAUGCUUCCUGGGGCGACCAGUGCCUCUCGAGCCACCUUAGCCACGCUGCAAAAGCCCGCAACAGCAACUUUGCAACGAUAACUGGAAGUCUUCCUGUUUUCUCUUUAGUUGUUUCAGGUGUCUUGAGGGCAUUUCUUCUGAAAGGGCUUUCUUAGGACUCGCCAACUCUGGGAAUGGGCAUUGAGGCUAGAUGGGCAGCACGUUUGUAGGCAUGCUGCAAGACCCAACGGACAGACAAAGUUGUGGCAUAUGGGUCUCACCCCAUCAUGAGGAAAGCCGGCUGGAGAUCAGGUCCAUUUCAAGGUGCUAUAUCUCAGAACGGCACUUGUGACAAAGAAGCCAUUGCAGUAGCCACUGCCAAGACUUGAGUGUAGCCAUGACUGAGCCCCACAGGGUCCAGUUUACCUCUCUCCCAGGCCCUCUGAAUCCUACAUUUCUGAAGAAACCCCGAAAAGAGGAGAUUGGGGGAGCAGAGCAGCACCAGGACUCUGAACCCACUGCAGCAGCUGUUCGAAUCACACUUACCCUCUUCGAACCAGAUCACAAGCGCUGUCCGGAGUUCUUCUACCCAGAGCUAGUGAAGAAUACAAGGGGUAAAGUGAAAAGUCUUCAAGUUGGAGACAAGAAGAAAGAUGUCUUGGACCCUUUCAAUGAUGAAGAAAAGGAAAGGCAUAAGGUGGAAGCUCUUGCUCGGAAAUUUGAGGAGAAAUAUGGUGGAAAAAAGCGCAGGAAGGACAGAAUGCAGGAUUUAAUUGACAUGGGUUAUGGGUACGAUGAAUCCGAUUCCUUCAUCGAUAACUCUGAAGCAUAUGAUGAGCUUGUUCCUGCUUCUCUGACCACAAAGUAUGGAGGAUUUUAUAUUAACUCGGGCACACUGCAGUUCAGACAAGCAUCAGAGUCUGAGGAUGACUUCAUUAAAGAAAAGAAGAAGAAAUCUCCUAAGAAGCGGAAGUUGAAAGAAGGUGGUGAGAAGAUAAAGAAGAAGAAAAAAGAUGACUCUUAUGACAAGGAGAAGAAAUCGAAAAAGUCCAAGUUUCCCAAAGCCGGCUUCACAGCACUGAAUGCCAGUAAGGAGAAGAAGAAAAAGAAAUACUCUGGAGCUCUAAGUGUUAAGGAAAUGUUAAAGAAAUUUCAGAAGGAGAAAGAAGCUCAGAAGAAGAGGGAUGAGGAACAUAAGCCAAUAACAGUGUCACCUGCUGAAACUCAGAGUACACGGGAGGUGGAAAGCAUGCCAGAUCCCUUGCUCUCAUUCUUUGGCUCUGCUUCUGACAAUGACCUGCUUCAGGCAGCUACUGCCAUGGACUCACUGACUGAUCUGGACUUAGAACAGCUCCUCAGUGAGUCUCCAGAAGGAAGUCCAUUUCAUGAUGUAGAUGAUGAAAGUGAUUCUCUUGGGGUAGGAUUGGACCAGGAAUUCAAACAACCCCCUUCCCUGCCAGAAGGACUGCCAGUGUCCCUGGAGAAACGUAUCAAGGAGCUGGCUCAGGCUGCCAGAACUGCUGAGGGAGAGAGCAGACAGAGGUUCUUCACCCAGGAUAUUAAUGGCAUCUUGCUGGACAUAGAGGUGCGGUCUCGGGAGCUGAAUAGCCAGAUCCGUUCUGGGGUGUAUGCCUAUCUCGCUUCAUUCCUGCCCUGCAGCAAGGAUACUCUGGUCAAACGUGCUCGCAAACUUCAUCUCUAUGAGCAGGGAGGGCGUCUGAAGGAACCUCUGCAGAAACUUAAGGAAGCUAUUGGCAGGGCAAUGCCGGAGCAGAUGGCCAAAUACCAGGAAGAGUGCCAGGCACAUACACAAGCAAAGUUUGCUAAGAUGCUGGAGGAGGAGAAAGACAAGGACCAGAGAGAACGUAUUUGUUCUGAUGAGGAGGAAGAUGAAGAGAAAGGGGGUAAACGCAUCAUGGGACCCCGGAAGAAAUUCCAGUGGAAUGAUGAAAUCAGGGAGUUGCUCUGCCAUGUGGUGAAGAUGAAACUGGAUGGCUAUGAUUUGGAGAGGAAUAAGGCUCAGUCCUGGGAAGAUUAUGUGAAAGCUUUUCUGGAUGCUGAAGUCAAACCCCUCUGGCCCAAGGGCUGGAUGCAGGCCAGGACUCUGUUUAAGGAGAGUAGGCGUGGACAUGGACAUCUGACAUCAAUCCUGGCCAAGAAGAAAGUCAUGACUGCUGCCAAGGUCAGAGUGAAGGAUUCUUCCACCAAACUUGAUAAGAAAGUUUCAGUUCCAUCAGGACAAUCCAGUGGCUCCAUUGUUUUGCCUUCAGAGCAGCAUCAGGGAAUGGGUAUGAGCAUUGGUGCUUCAGCCAGGGAGUUGUCAUCUCUGGGUGCUUCUCAAACAUCCAGCAAUAUUGCUAAUCCUGCUUCUUUCAACCUGGAGGACUCACUGGAUGAAGACUUAAUUCAUAAUCCAACCUCUUCAUUGGAAGCAGUGUCUAAGGAACUGGCUGCAUUGAACAGCAGAGCAAGUGGGAGUCCUGAAUUCAUUCUUCAUGUGCCCCCAAAGACCCCUACAGAUAAAGUAACAAGUUCUGAGGAAAAAAGAAACUUCCCUAAGUCCAAUUCUUCUGCUCCAUCACCUGCUAGCUCGCUACAGUCACCUCUUAAUUUCUUGGCUGAACAGGCACUGGCACUGGGGCAGUCUUCUCAGGAGAAAAAAACAGAUAAUUCUAGUUACAAAGAGCUCUCUUGCCAGGCUUCCCCCAGUAAAACCUUGUCCGAAGCACACCAGUCUAAACUUAAGCACCAUAAUUUGCCACGGACAUCUCAUGGACCACAAACAUCACCUCUGGUGCCCACCCCCCAAGUUAAAGUUUUUCAUUCAAGUAAUCAGCAGCAGAAAAACUUCACACCCCCAGCUCCAUUUGUCAAUAAGCUCCAGAGCCCAAAGGCUGCCUCCCCUCUGGCCCAGCGAUCCCUCCUGCAACAGGUCAAGACGUCGACCAAAGGUCCAAGCUUCCACUCCUCAGCAUCUCCCUCUUCGGGUAGCACCCCAGCCUCUAGUAGUACUCAUAAGAGCCCUGGCUCCUCCACAGCUUCUUUGGGUUAUACAGGGAAGCACUCAUCCAGUUCUUCAGGACAAUCUUACAAGUCUCCCUUUGUUGCUGGCUCUUUCUCUAAACAUGGGGUUUCUUCUAGCACUUCUUCAUCUGGAGUAUCUUCAGUCCAGAGCUCUGCAUCUGGGAGCUCACUAUCUGGUGUACAGGCUUCCUCCUCUAGCCAGCCUUCCAGCCGGCCAGUACCAAGUUCUGCAUUGAAGAAACCUCCAGUUUCCCAGAAGCUGACUUUAGUGGCGCCACCUGGUGGCCCAAAUGGAGAUUCUAGUGGUGGGACACAGGGGGUGGCCAAGUUACUGACCUCUUCCCUUAAGCCAGCUGUGGUUAGUAGUGCUACAUCAUCUACCUCCUUGCCAAAAGGAACAAGUGGAGCUGUACUGCUAACCAGCUCCUCUUCCUUAAGUGUACUGUCACCAUCCUAUAAGUCCAGCAGUUCUAAACUGUCCGGAGGCCUGAACUCAACACCACUGGGGAUUUUAUCUCCUCUCCACACUUUCCCUCUCCAUGUGAUCUCCUUUAGUGCAGACUCAUCUCCCAAAGCAGGAGUCUCCAAGGAUGCCAUUGUUACAGGCCCUGCCCCUGGAACUUUCCACCAUGGCCUGAGUCACAGUCUUCUGGCUGGCUUGCACUCCAGCCCGCACCAUGCAGCGCCUCUCCCACACUCUGCCUUGUCUACCCAUAUUCCGCAGAGUCUGCCAGUAGAACAGAAGGGGAGGCAGUGCACUAUCCCCAUAGGGGCCAGUAAGGUCAUGGCAAAUCUCCUAAGGCCUGUCUGCAAAUACCAUCUAUACUUCAUCUGUUAAGAGCUUUCUGUGCCUAGGUUAAAUAAGAGGUGACAUUCCUAAUGACUCUUUAUCCUCUUCCUGAUCCCUUAAGACGCUUCUCAGCUUCAUGGGAAAGGGACCAAUGUACAACAGCGGAAAUUGUGACAUCUGCAGAAGAAAAGCUAAUCUAGAACAAGGCAGAACCUGAAUGAGUAGGUCUUGAAGACUGGAUAUUGACUGUAUUCUUUCUUUCUGCCAACUGUGUUUCUUCUAGCAGCUGGAGAAAGAGUGAGCUCUGAGUUUCUUGGCACUUUUAACAUGCCUCAGAGUUAGUGGGAGCUUCGUGCUCUUUUAGAGAUGCUUAUGGUGCUCUGUGCUUCACAACCAUGUCAUUUGACAGUAAUUGAAGUGGCAGAUACUAAAAAGGAGAACAUGCUGGACUUUGGGUAUGAGAGUAUGUGUGUGUAAUGACUACACUAGGAUGGCAGAUCAUUUUUUAAUCUAUGUGUUAAAUCUGCCAAGAACCUCUGUGUUCAGUUAACCAUACCUCAAGACAUUCCACAAGAUGGUGGUUUGUUCCAGCUGUCGUAGGAUCACUGCCUCUGGAUUGGGACAAUUAUGGUGUCCUCAUUUUUAAAUUGUAUGUUCAACAAGAAGAAAACCUGUGCUGGAGCAUGAUGGGGGAAAAUUUUGCUUUGUCUCUUUGUGACUAUAUAAAGGAGAUGACCUGAUAUGCUCAUUGUGCAAAGGGAGGUGGAGGGAAAGGAUUUCCUUCCUGAACAUGAUAGUGAAGCUCUUUAUAGAAAAGACCUCUGUAGAUUGCAUUGGAACAAUUGUAAUAGGAUUUUCAAAGUUAUUUUUUUGGCUCAAUUUUCAUUAUUACCAUUAAAUGCAUUGGAUAGAAUGGGACUGUUCUUCACAUGUCACCUGUAUAGGAAGACAUAAUUCCAGUGCCUUUAUGGUGGAGCAAAAUUAGAUAAUACACAUCCAUUUUAGCCCUCUAUCUGCUCCUGAAAAGAGAUUUUUAAAAAAAUUCUGUAUUUAAGACUUAUCCGUUUAUAUUUAAUUGAGCUUUUCAUGAUUGCACAUUGAAAGCUGCACUGUCCUGACUUGAAGGUGAUUUGGAUCCUGAGAGCCUGGUUCCAAAUCCAGGAAGAGCACCAGUUCUUUCAGCAUUUAUGUAUAUGGGUUCUAGAGCCCAGAAGCCAUUCUUGAUCAGAAUUUUCAUCUCUGUGAGUAGGCGUGAGGAGUACAGAGUCACUGAUAUACAUUCCAUUUUUUUGUUCCUAGAAAUCAGCACUCAUAGAACUUCAGUAAAAGGCUUCUUUAGUGUUCCUGUAGUGGACACAGGCUUCAAAAUCCUGGAGACUCUCCAGGUAAUUGAUUGGACUAUGCAUUAACUUAAGGGUAAUAUGCAGUUAGGUUUGGAGAGUCAAUCAAAGGCCAGAUGGUUAGGCACAA